rnacentral:rRNA from 1 species
UAGUCCACGCCGUAAACGAUGUUUGCUAGUUGUCGGAGGCUUAAGUCUUCGGUGACGCAGGGAAACCAUUAAGCAAACCGCCUGGGGAGUACGGCCGCAAGGUUAAAACUCAAAGGAAUUGACGGGGACCCGCACAAGCGGUGGAGCAUGUUGUUUAAUUCGAAGCAACGCGAAGAACCUUACCCACACUUAACUAUCCUCUUGGGACUUUCAGAGAUGAUUGUCUUCGGUUCGGCCGGGGAGUGAAUAGGUGCUGCAUGGCUGUCGUCAGCUCGUGUCGUGAGAUGUUCGGUUAAGUCCGGUAACGAGCGCAACCCUUAUUGAUAGUUGCCAUCAUUCAGUUGGGCACUCUAUUGAGACUGCCGGUGACGAGCCGGAGGGAAGGCGGGGACGACGU